AAAGGGUGCGUAGGCGGCCUGUUAAGUCAGGGGUGAAAGACGGUAGCUCAACUAUCGCAGUGCCCUUGAUACUGAUGGGCUUGAAUGGACUAGAGGUAGGCGGAAUGUGACAAGUAGCGGUGAAAUGCAUAGAUAUGUCACAGAACACCGAUUGCGAAGGCAGCUUACUAUGGUCUUAUUGACGCUGAGGCACGAAAGCGUGGGGAUCAAACAGGAUUAGAUACCCUAGU
rnacentral:rRNA from 1 species